UACGUAGGGGGGCAAGCGUUGUCCGGAUUUAUUGGGCGUAAAGAGCGUGUAGGCGGCCAGGUAGGUCUGCUGUGAAAACUCGAGGCUCAACCUCGAGACGCCGGUGGAAACCGUAAAGCUAGAGUCCGGAAGAGGAGAGUGGAAUUCCUGGUGUAGCGGUGAAAUGCGCAGAUAUCAGGAAGAACACCCGUGGCGAAGGCGGCUCUCUGGGACGGUACUGACGCUGAGACGCGAAAGCGUGGGGAGCGAACAGG
rnacentral:rRNA from 1 species